rnacentral:tRNA from 1 species
GGGGUUGUAGCUCAGCGGUAGAGUGAUUGCCUAGUACGUAAGGCCCUGGGUUCAAUCCUCAGCACCACA